rnacentral:tRNA from 1 species
CGCGGGGUGGAGCAGUCUGGUAGCUCGUCGGGCUCAUAACCCGGAGGUCGCGGGUUCAAAUCCCGCCCCCGCUA